GAUGAACGCUGGCGGCGUGCCUAAUACAUGCAAGUCGAGCGAACGGACGAGAAGCUUGCUUCUCUGAUGUUAGCGGCGGACGGGUGAGUAACACGUGGAUAACCUACCUAUAAGACUGGGAUAACUUCGGGAAACCGGAGCUAAUACCGGAUAAUAUUUUGAACCGCAUGGUUCAAAAGUGAAAGACGGUCUUGCUGUCACUUAUAGAUGGAUCCGCGCUGCAUUAGCUAGUUGGUAAGGUAACGGCUUACCAAGGCAACGAUGCAUAGCCAACCUGAGAGGGUGAUCGGCCACACUGGAACUGAGACACGGUCCAGACUCCUACGGGAGGCAGCAGUAGGGAAUCUUCCGCAAUGGGCGGAAGCCUGACGGAGCAACGCCGCGUGAGUGAUGAAGGUCUUCGGAUCGUAAAACUCUGUUAUUAGGGAAGAACAUAUGUGUAAGUAACUGUGCACAUCUUGACGGUACCUAAUCAGAAAGCCACGGCUCCCUACGUG
rnacentral:rRNA from 1 species